GAUUUCGUAAUUGUUUUUAUUUUUAGAAAUUAUUUAAAACAAUUACGAGGAGUAAUACGCUUUCGUUUUUUAGGUUAUCUAGUUUUAUUUGAAGAAAAUGGGGAAACCUUUUUUUUUGUUUUGUGUUUUUUAAAUUUGUUUGUUUUUUUUUAAUAGUAAGUAAUUGUGUAAUAACUAAAUUUGGGUGUAGUGGAAAAAUUAUUUGUUUGGUAAAAUAAAUAAUCGAUUAAUAGAUUAGUAGAAGAAAAAUUGUGAAAAAAUUUUUAUUAUUAAUAAAAAUUUAAAAUUAUUUGAGCUUACUUAUUUUUUCUUAGACUGGUUAAUAAAAUCUUAGUCACAAAUUUUGUGGUGGUUUCUGCUCUAUGCUUUUAAAAAGUAAAUGGCUGUCUUAGACACUAAGGUAGCAAAAUCAUUAGUUAUUUAAUUGGUAACUUGUAUGAAUGAAUUUUCUGGGAAAAGGUUAUUUUUUCUUUUUGAAUUUAUAAAUUUGUUGAAAAUAACAAUUUUUCCUAUAAGACUAAAAGACCCUAAAAUUUUUAUAACUAUAAAGUUAUUUAAUUGGGGCAAUAAUAAAGGGUAAAUGUAAGAUAAUUUUAUUUUCUUUGAACUUUUUUUAUUGAUAAAAGGUAAAAUACUUUAGGGAUAACAGCUUAAUUACCUUUGAGAGUUCUUAUUAUUAAGGUAGUUUUAGACCUCGAUGUUGGAUUGGGAGGGCUUUCUGAGGCAA
rnacentral:rRNA from 1 species